ACGGAUGUUUGGGCUUUUUGAGGACUGAUGAUCAUACAAUCGUCAGCUCGCACCAGAUUGAUGUUGUCUGCAUGUUGCAUCUUUCCUCUUGUAGCAAUCUCUUCAUCCGAGCAUGUCGUCUAAGAAUGACAAAUACAUAGAAGCUGGUGAGUUAACAUAGAAGAAGGUGAUUGGGCUUCUUGGAGGAGAGGUGAUCUAUUAUGCAGUCUUUGUUUUCUUGAGUUCUGAAGUAGUCUUCUCUGAUUGCAUCUUCAGGAUGAGCGAAUUUUGAGGAUUUAUAGGCAUCUUGUAGUUUUGAUUUAAGUUUGUCUUCAGUUGAUUUUCUUCAGGAGCAGUGAGAUAAUUAUUAUCGAGUUCUAAUUCCUCUACUGGAAUCUUUUCCAUGUUGAGAAGUGGUGUGAUCUAUUGCCUUCUUCUGUAGGGUGAGUUGAUGAUUGUUUGAAAUUGGAUAAACAGCCAUUUUGUGGAUUCUAAGGACUGGUAUAUAUGAUGAGGUUGGUCAAUUAUUACUUAGAAUGACUGAGCUUUUCUUGAGUUUGA